AACGAACGCUGGCGGCAUGCCUAACACAUGCAAGUCGAACGAGACCUUCGGGUCUAGUGGCGCACGGGUGCGUAACGCGUGGGAAUCUGCCCUUGGGUUCGGAAUAACUCAGAGAAAUUUGAGCUAAUACCGGAUGAUGACGAAAGUCCAAAGAUUUAUCGCCCAGGGAUGAGCCCGCGUAAGAUUAGCUUGUUGGUGGGGUAAUGGCCUACCAAGGCGACGAUCUUUAGCUGGUCUGAGAGGAUGAUCAGCCACACUGGGACUGAGACACGGCCCAGACUCCUACGGGAGGCAGCAGUGGGGGAAUAUUGGACAAUGGGCGCAAGCCUGAUCCAGCAAUGCCGCGUGAGUGAUGAAGGCCCUUAGGGUUGUAAAGCCUUCUUACGA
rnacentral:rRNA from 1 species